rnacentral:piRNA from 2 species
CUGUCAUAUGGUGAUAAUGGUCCC